CCUACGGGUGGCAGCAGUGAGGAAUAUUGGUCAAUGGACGAGAGUCUGAACCAGCCAAGUAGCGUGAAGGAUGACUGCCCUAUGGGUUGUAAACUUCUUUUAUAUGGGAAUAAAACGUUCCACGUGUGGGAUUUUGUAUGUACCAUAUGAAUAAGGAUCGGCUAACUCCGUGCCAGCAGCCGCGGUAAUACGGAGGAUCCGAGCGUUAUCCGGAUUUAUUGGGUUUAAAGGGAGCGUAGGUGGAUUGUUAAGUCAGUUGUGAAAGUUUGCGGCUCAACCGUAAAAUUGCGGUUGAAACUGGCAGUCUUGAGUACAGUAGAGGUGGGCGGAAUUCGUGGUGUAGCGGUGAAAUGCUUAGAUAUCACGAAGAACUCCGAUUGCGAAGGCAGUUCACUGGACUGCAACUGACACUGAGGCUCGAAAGUGUGGGUAUCAAACAGGAUUAGAUACCCUUGUAGUC
rnacentral:rRNA from 1 species